UGUCAAGUCGGAUGUGAAAUCCCCGGGCUCAACCUGGGAACUGCAUUCGAAACUGGCAGGCUUGAGUCUUGUAGAGGGGGGUAGAAUUCCAGGUGUAGCGGUGAAAUGCGUAGAGAUCUGGAGGAAUACCGGUGGCGAAGGCGGCCCCCUGGACAAAGACUGACGCUCAGGUGCGAAAGCGUGGGGAGCAAACAGGAUUAGAUACCCUGGUAGUCCACGCCGUAAACGAUGUCUACUUGGAGGUUGUGCCCUUGAGGCGUGGCUUCCGGAGCUAACGCGUUAAGUAGACCGCCUGGGGAGUACGGCCGCAAGGUUAAAACUCAAAUGAAUUGACGGGGGCCCGCACAAGCGGUGGAGCAUGUGGUUUAAUUCGAUGCAACGCGAAGAACCUUACCUGGUCUUGACAUCCACAGAACUUUCCAGAGAUGGAUUGGUGCCUUCGGGAACUGUGAGACAGGUGCUGCAUGGCUGUCGUCAGCUCGUGUUGUGAAAUGUUGGGUUAAGUCCCGCAACGAGCGCAACCCUUAUCCUUUGUUGCCAGCGAUUAGGUCGGGAACUCAAAGGAGACUGCCAGUGAUAAACUGG
rnacentral:rRNA from 1 species